CCUUUGUUAGCGAGCCAAUCGGAAUUGUUUAUUCAUUCAAUAAUUAUUAUUUCGCCUUGUCGGUGAUGAUAAUUCUCACAGUUGGCCUGUUUCUUAUGGCGAACUACAGACUACAUAGUCUUCAGGAAGAUCGGACAAGUCGAUUAGGGUUUGUGUUAGUGAAUGCAGCCUUUAGUGUGUGCGUCGAAUCCUCACAUUUAUAGCCGUGGAUGUUAGAAGGGGAAUCUAAGGACACCUAAUACAUCAAUAUGCUGAGUGGGAAUAGCUCAUCCGCGGUCAGUUGGUGCAACAGCAGUAUCCACGCAUGCGUCGAUCUUGAGCGCUUCCGCCGUGAGUUCGUGUAUAGCACAACCGCCACUGUUAUCGUCAUACUUGUGUUGACUCUCUGGCUUUUUAUCUUCCUCGUGGCGCUUAAAAACAUGGACAGAGCAAGCAAGCAGAAAGAAAAGAAAGCUGCUGAAGAAUUGCAAACACAAAAGAAGGGGGACAAGGUCAAGAUGGCGCAUAUUUAGUACAAACGAAUUUUCUGUGUUUUGCUAAUAUAGGGACGUAUCCCUAAAGUCCGCCGCACACGGCGAGAAAAAUUUCGUGCUUGCGCUUCUCUCCUGUUUACUAUCGAAUCCGUUGUAUCACGAUGCCGCAUCUUCAAAACAUCUAUUUGUUUUUGUCUUUUGGGAUUUUCUGUUCCGCCAGUCAAAUUAUUAUAAGCCAAUCAGAUUCUUGCCAUCUCUCGCCUAGUGCAGUUGCCCGGCUUUCUGUCGCGACACUGUUUGGUUUUCGUCCAGAGGAUAGCCAGGGAAGUGCACAAAGCGAGUUAUAGGGACGUAUGCCUAAAGUCCGCCGCACACGGCGAGAAAAA